GACGAACGCUGGCGGCGUGCUUAACACAUGCAAGUCGAACGGAAAGGCCCUGCUUUUGUGGGGUGCUCGAGUGGCGAACGGGUGAGUAACACGUGAGUAACCUGCCCUUGACUUUGGGAUAACUUCAGGAAACUGGGGCUAAUACCGGAUAGGAGCUCCUGCUGCAUGGUGGGGGUUGGAAAGUUUCGGCGGUUGGGGAUGGACUGGCGGCUUAUCAGCUUGUUGGUGGGGUAGUGGCUUACCAAGGCUUUGACGGGUAGCCGGCCUGAGAGGGUGACCGGCCACAUUGGGACUGAGAUACGGCCCAGAGUCCUACGGGAGGCAACAGUGGGGAAUAUUACACAAUGGGCGGAAGCCUGAUGCAGCAACGCCGCGUGCGGGAAGACGGCCUUCGGGUUGUAAACCGCUUUCGCCUGUGACGAAGCGUGAGUGACGGUAAUGGGUAAAGAAGCACCGGCUAACUACGUG
rnacentral:rRNA from 1 species